GAACGUGUGAUGGAGGGAGGCCGGUCCUCGGCUGCGUCGGAGGAGGCGGGCCCGUCCUCAGCCUCGUCGGAGGAGGCGGGCCCGUCCUCCUUCAGCCCGUGGACUUCCGGCAGCGGCAGGGGGAACCUCGUGAGGCAGAUAAGCCUCCCACCAUCGAUGGGUAAGCAUAUGUUGAUAACAUGGUAAUUAAUUUGGCUUAUUCAUGCAAUUGGACAGCAGAGUCUGUAUAUCACAACACCUUAAAUUGUGUGUCGUUACAGGGCCCACCACGAGGGCCUAGACCCGAGACCCAAAAUGUCGGAAAACGCCAUCUCGAAAGUCAGCAGGGUGAAGACAUUCAUCAUCUACAUGGCCAACAACCAGACCCGGUUGUCUGACUGGCUGUUUUUGGACAACAUGUCCAGGAUCCGUGGCUGGGCCCGUAGUGUGGUGGAGGGCGGAAUGAAAAUUACCACUGCAAAGUUCUAUCUGCAGAAUGCGCUGCAUUUUAUUAAAUUCCACCCACGACAUGCCGCCUCACUCGGGUGCAGUUCACCUCCAUCGUGAGGGAACUGAAGACGGGGGUGAGUUCGCUGCAGCGCAGGGUGGUUGUCCACCAGAUGUCCACUAAGAGGCUAAAAAUAAGCAAGUUGCCGUCCCGCCAGGCCCUGAGGGGUUGCCUCUCUGCUGCUGCCGUCGCCAUCCCACAGCUGCUGGGCAAACUCGAGGCGGAAUUCGAGAACACCAGCCGUUUCCUCGGCCGUAGGGCUACCAGCGCGCCUACUGGAGCUGCCUGUUCGGGCACAGGCCGGGGGUCUAUGCCAACAUGACGGACAAUGAGGUGGAGGAGGCAAAGACCCUCGGCCAGGAUCGGGGCUACCUGCUCCACAUCAAGGAACACAACACAAACAGAACAUUUGGGGAGGCCCAGAUGUUUCUGAACCCUGCAGAGUUCGCGUGGCUGGAGAGGUGGAUGGCCAUCAAAAAAAGCCUCCCCGAUGCCAACCAGUUUGUGCUUUACACAAAGGGCAAGGGGCCGUCCAAAAAUCUCAACGCCAACCUGCAGUCGGCCUGGAAGGACAUGGGGUUAGCGGGGGUGAUCAAUUUCACCCUCAUAAGGACGGCCGUGGCAACUUAUGCAAAAAAGUCACAAGAUCCCAAAGAAAGAAAAAAAGUCGCGGACUUUAUGUGUCAUGACACCAAGACAGCAGACAAAUAUUACGUGGCCAACCCUGACCACUGUGAGGCAGAGGAAGUCAGGGCCCUGGUCAGACAGAGCCUCCUCGUGGGAGGGGGAGGAGACGACGAGAUGCUGCAACAGCAGCAGCAGCAGGAGGAGGAGGAGGAGGAGGAGGAGGAGAUGGAAGUAGGCGGCGGCGGCGGCAGCAGCAGCAGCGAAGAGGACAAGGCGGCCCCCUCAUUUUGUCAGCCAACCCACCGCCACAGGAGGUCGAGGAGGAGGGCACACCGAGGAAAAAAAAGGUGAAAAGAGACUGCUCAGUCAUGAUAAGUCCAUUCAAAUCAAUCCCGGAGAAGAAGACGACCAACGAGCAGAGCGAACAAAGGAUGAGGGUGAGGAGGCUCUGAUUCCCCCCCAAAAAAUUCACCUAGGGAAUUUUUUUGAUAUUAUGUUUUAAAUUUCUUAUUGUGUUGUGUUUUAUAGCUUUCAUUGUGUGGUGUUUUGAUUGUUUUAACGUGUGCUGUGUUUUUAGCUCUUAGAGAUUGUUUUUUGUGGUGUUUUGAUUGUUUUAACGUGUUCUGUGUUUAGCUCUUAGAGAUUGUUUUGUGUGGUGUUUUAAUUAAUCUGAUGUUUUUGGUGAAUAAAUGGUUAAAUUGUGAAUACUUCUCCUCUUUAUUUCUACGUACACACAUUUUUAUUCAUA
rnacentral:lncRNA from 1 species